GUGCCAGCAGCCGCGGUAAUACGUAGGGGGCGAGCGUUGUCCGGAAUUACUGGGCGUAAAGAGCGCGUAGGCGGUGCGUUAAGUCGGCUGUGAAAUCUCCCGGCUCAACUGGGAGGGGACGGCCGAGACUGGCGGGCUUGAGGGUGGCAGAGGGAGGCGGAAUUCCCGGAGUAGUGGUGAAAUGCGUAGAUACCGGGAGGAACACCAGUGGCGAAGGCGGCCUCCUGGGCUUCUCCUGACGCUGAGGCGCGAGAGCGUGGGGAGCGAACCGGAUUAGAAACCCGUGUAGUCC
rnacentral:rRNA from 1 species